UGUGAAAUUGUUGAAAGGGAAACGCUUGAAGUCAGUCGCGUUGGAUGGGGAUCAACCUUGCUUUUUUGCUUGGCUUAUUUCAUAGUUGACGGGUCAGCAUCAGUUUUGACCAGUGGAUAAAGGUUGUGGGAAUGUGGCACCUUCGGGUGUGUUAUAGCCCUUGGUCAUAUACAUUGAUUGGGCCUGAGGAACUCAGCACUUGUGCUUAGGAUGCUGGCAUAAUGGCUUUAAGCGACCCGUCU
rnacentral:rRNA from 1 species